rnacentral:rRNA from 1 species
AGCAGCCGCGGUAAUUCCAGCUCCAAUAGCGUAUAUUAAAGUUGUUGCAGUUAAAAAGCUCGUAGUUGAAUUUCGGGGCCAGUAGGUUGGUCGUGCCACUGGUAUGCACUGGCCUCACUGGUCCCUCCUUCUUGUAGAACCGUGAUGGCAUUAAUUUGUUGUUGCGGGGAAACAGGACUGUUACUUUGAAAAAAUUAGAGUGUUUAAAGCAGGCUAACGCUUGAAUACAUUAGCAUGGAAUAAUGAAAUAGGACGAUCGAUCCUAUUUUGUUGGUUUCUAGGAUUGACGUAAUGAUUAAUAGGGAUAGUUGGGGGCAUUAGUAUUCAAUUGUCAGAGGUGAAAUUCUUGGAUUUAUUGAAGACUAACUACUGCGAAAGCAUUUGCCAAGGAUGUUUUCAUUAAUCAAGAACGAAAGUUAGGGGAUCGAAGACGAUCAGAUACCGUCGUAG